rnacentral:rRNA from 1 species
GACGAACGCUGGCGGCGUGCCUAAUACAUGCAAGUAGAACGCUGAAGCUUGGUGCUUGCACCGAGCGGAUGAGUUGCGAACGGGUGAGUAACGCGUAGGUAACCUGCCUGGUAGCGGGGGAUAACUAUUGGAAACGAUAUCUAAUACCGCAUAAGAGUAGUUGUUGCAUGACAUUUGCUUAAAAGGUGCAAUUGCAUCACUACCAGAUGGAUCUGCGUUGUAUUAGCUAGUUGGUGAGGUAACGGCUCACCAAGGCAACGAUACAUAGCCGACCUGAGAGGGUGAUCGGCCACCCUGGGACUGAGACACGGCCCAGACUCCUACGGGAGGCAGCAGUAGGGAAUCUUCGGCAAUGGACGGAAGUCUGACCGAGCAACGCCGCGUGAGUGAAGAAGGUUUUCGGGUCGUAAAGCUCUGUUGUAAGGGAAGAACGAGUGUGAGAGUGGAAAGUUCACACUGUGACGGUAUCUUACCAGAAAGGGACGGCUAACUACGUG